AACGAACGCUGGCGGCAUGCCUAACACAUGCAAGUCGAACGGACGGUAGCAAUACCGUUAGUGGCGGACGGGUGAGUAACGCGUGGGAACCUGCCUCGAAGUUCGGAAUAACCGCGGGAAACUGCGGCUAAUACCGGAUGUGGCCUGAGGGUCAAAGGCGCAAGUCGCUUCGAGAGGGGCCCGCGUCCGAUUAGCUAGUUGGUGGGGUAACGGCCUACCAAGGCGACGAUCGGUAGCUGGUCUGAGAGGAUGAUCAGCCACACUGGGACUGAGACACGGCCCAGACUCCUACGGGAGGCAGCAGUGGGGAAUAUUGGACAAUGGGGAAACCCUGAUCCAGCAAUGCCGCGUGGGUGAUGAAGGCC
rnacentral:rRNA from 1 species